rnacentral:rRNA from 1 species
UUCCCGCAAUAAUGCGGGAUAAAGAUUUACUCGGACAAAGAGUGGCCUGCGGCCUAUCAGCUUGUUGGUAAGGUAAUGGCUUACCAAGGCUAUGACGGGUAGGGGGCGUGAGAGCGCUCCCCAACAAGGGCACUGAGACACGGGCCUUACUCCUACGGGAGGCAGCAGUCGAGAAUCUUCCACAAUGGGCGAAAGCCUGAUGGAGCGACGCCGCGUGCAUGAAGAAGCCCUUCGGGGUGUAAAGUGCUUUUCUAAAAGAACAAUAAUCCCGCAUUAUUGCGGGAAAUGAGCUAACUUUAGGAAUAAGGGGCUGCUAAACUCGUGCCAGCAGCAGCGGUAAUACGAGUGCCCCGAGCGUUGUCCGGAAUCACUGGGCGUAAAGCGUCUGUAGGGGGUUUGAUGCGUCUCCUGUUAAAUUUCAUUGCUCAACAAUGAGACCUCGGGAGAAACGAUCAGACUAGAGGGUGUGAGAGGCUGAUGGAACUUAGGGAGGAGGGGUGAAAUCCGUUGAUACUCUAAGGAACACCAAAGGCGAAGGCAUUCAGCUGGCGCAUUCCUGACCCUGAGAGACGAAAGCGUGGGUAGCGAACGGGAUUAGAUACCCCGGUAGUCCACGCCCUAAACGAUGGAUACUAGCCGUUUGAAGUAUCGACCCUUCAGGUGGCGAAGCUAACGCGUUAAGUAUCCCGCCUGGGAAGUACGGUCGCAAGACUAAAACUCAAAGGAAUAGACGGGAGCUUGCACAAGCGGUGGAGCGUCUGGUUUAAUUCGACAAUAAGCGAAGAACCUUACCAGGGCUUGAUACUCUGAUGACAACUUUCCGUAAGGAAGGUUUUCUACAAGGACAUCAGAGCAGGUGCUGCAUGGUUGUCGUCAGCUUGUGGCGUGAGUUGCUCCGUUAAGUCGGGUAACAAGCGCAACCCCUAUCUUGUGUUAUAAGUGUCACAAGAGACUGCCUCGUAAAGCGAGGAGGAAGGUGGGGAUGACGCCAAAUCAGCAUGGCCCUUUGAUGCCCUGGGCGACACAGGCGCUACAAUGGCCGGUAUAACGGGUUACUAAGCCGUAAGGUGGAGCCAAUCCCAUCAAAACCGGUCCCAGUUCGGAUUGGGGUCUGAAAUUCGACCCCAUGAAGUCGGAAUCGCUAGUAAUCGCGGAUCAGCCACGCCGCGGUGAAUACGUUCUCAAGCUUUGUACUCACCGCCUGUCACGCCAGAGAAGUCGGGAACACCCGACGUUCCCGCAAUAUAGCGGGACCUAAGGUGAAUUCGGUAACUAGGGCGAAGUCAUAACAAGGCA